UCCUAGUCCCCUUAGGCUCUAUUUCCUUCCAAAACCCAAAUGCAUCUAACUCAUGCUUUCCUAUUUACUUCAUUGUAAUCGCCGAUCAAAACCCAUACCAAAACUUCUUUCACUUUUUGUUUGUUCCUCCUUCUCUGACCAAGAGAGAGAAUAAAAAUGAUCCCUUUUCAUUUAAAGAGCCCUCAGCCAUGGCUCUCGCCCCCCAAAUUUUCCAGGCUGACUCAAAUCUCUUCUUCUUCUUCAUCCAGAGCACAAGGCAUAAGAGGCUCAAACAAUACGAUUCCUCUCAAGAAAUCAUUGCUGUGCAGCUAUCGUUGGAAAAUUUGUUCACCUAACAAAGCUCAUAACAUUGUGCGUAGUGAAGGAAAACGGGAAGUUACUUGUCAAAAAGAAGUGGAUGUUUCAAAUAAUUCAAAUGUCAAAUUCUUUAGGAUUGAUCAACAGAAUAGU